AAAUUCUAUUUCGAGGAUCCACAAAACCCUGAUUGUCCCCACUUGCUCACCUGGGGUCCCCAGGGAGGCACUGGAGGACCCCAGUUUAAGAAUCCGGUUGGCAGUGUCAGUAAUUCAGUGCUGAGAAAGAGCCCUGGGUUGAAAAGGAAGGAGGGACCAAAGGCACUUGAACAUGGCCCCGGGCGUGGCUUCCGUGGCGUCAGGUUGGGACGGCGCUGGGCCGAGCGUCGGCCCCCAUGGAGGGGAGGGUCCGGUGGAGGUAGCUUCGGUGUGGCCCCAGGUUUCUGCUCGGGUGGCCCGUGGCCUCUGUGUGCGGUGGGGAUGCGGAGGCAGCCCGAUGGGGGAUGGCUUGGAGGUGAGGGUUUCAACUGGCCCCAGCGGGACUUCUCCGCUUUUCCUUGGAACAGUUUCCUGCUGGUGAUGCGGGGCCAACACCUGGGUGUGGUGACACCCAGGACCACAGCCUUGCUGGGUCUUAGGCGAUGGAACUUCACCUCUGGGGGCCCGACCUACCAACCUUGAAAAGAUUGUUCUAGGCAGCCCGGUGCCUUCUUGCGAGUCGGUGGCGGGGAUGGCUGAGACCUCAACCCUGGGAACUUAAGCAGCCUUCACACCAACUCGUUUCUAAUCCCGUCCUCAGAAGAAAAACCAUUUUUUGAAAAACUUUGUUUUAGGUGUUUUUUUGUUUGUUUUUUUUUGCUGAUAAAAUUGCAGGCUUUUUGUUAAAAACCAAAAUAAAAACACUGAGAAGUCCAACUUUGUUCCUUCCUUUGAGCCAUAAUACAAAUUCCUGAAAAAAUUCAUAGAUUAAAAAAAAAAAAACAUGGGAAGACGAGGCAGUUUUAGGGAGUGGAGGAAAAAACUACAUGUUUAAGUUAAGCCCACUAAAAACGAAAUGGGGGCCACGGACCCCUCUGAUAACAUGUUUUUUUUUGUUGUUUUUUUUAAAUACUUGGCGAGAAGUGCUUGAAGAUCACCGCCCGCUGCCAUAGCCGGGGAAGAGCUGGGUGAGGACGGCCUGCAGCGGCUGGUUCACGGUCAUGGUGUAGCUCCGGCCCAGGUCAUAGCGACAGGCCGGGCAGCUGAACACCUGGGCCUUNNNNNNNNNNNNNGGCAGUCCUGUGGGAGAGUGGGGCGGGUGAGAGGUGAUCCUGGCCACCCAUGGUCCCCUGGGGCACCACCAGGCACCCAGAGGACCCUCCUGACCCUCAGUCUCAUUUUCCACUGCUGGCAGCCCAUGACCGGCCCGGCUGCCCCAGGCUCAUCAAAGACACCAAGGUUGAACUUUCCAGUGGUCCAAUGGUCAGGACUCUGUGCUCUCACUCCCAAGGGCCCAUGUUCGAUCUCUGGUCAGGGAGCUAAGAUCCUACAAGCUGAUCAAUCACUGUGGCCAAAAAAACAGAGACUCCCAGGUCAUCCUGGCUGCCAGGCUCCUGCACCUGGAGAUCACACCACCUGACAGGUCUGCCCUGGCUCUCUCGUCACUGGUGCUGGAGUCCCCUGCUCAGAGGACCCUUCCUCAAGGCGCCCUGGAACAUCAGGAUGGCCCCGCCUCACCACACCCUGUCUGCUUUCAAAACAGCACCUUCCUCCUUCUGAAACUGUCUGAUGGACUGAUGUGCUUGUGUGUUAACAGAGCAGAUGCUCCCCACGAUCAGGGGUUGUGUCUCCCUGAUGUUCCCCAUGCCAAGCACAGGACCCAGCAUGGAGCACAGGCUCAGUAAAGAUGUGUCAGUGAGAAGACAGAAGGAAAAGGGGGGAAGGAUGGAGUUUGGAUUCUGAGCCAGACUUCUGGGUUCGAACCCAGCUGUCAACCAAACAAUGCAGGAGGCAGUGUGUGGAGAAGAGUCAGGUGGAGACUGAGCUGCAAGCCUGAGGAGCCCUGGAGAGCUGACCUCCCCAGGAGGGGAACAGCCCGGAGAUGAUGCCCACAGGGGCACAGACACCUGCACAGCUAUGCACACCUGAAGGAUGGCACAAGGCAGCUGCGUGAGGGGCAAUGCCAAGCAGGUGAAAACCUGCUGCCACUGGAGGAGGGCAGUGGCUUUUGCUUCCUAUAUUUAAAAAUCCCUGCAUUCUUUUCCAGUAUAAAGUCUAUAGCUGAUCGCAGACACAAGAGAUAGUACUUUGUGCUCAAUGCACUGACUCGGGUUCAAAAUCAGGUGCUGGACCACUUCGAGCUGCACGGUGGCCAAGAGGUGGAAACACCUAGAGCUCACUCACAGGUGAUGGAUCAACACAGCGUGGGCCAUCUGCAUGCUGCAGGGCAACUUAGCCUUCACACGGAAGGUGACUCACCCACGGGACCACAUGGGCAAGCCCUUAACCUGAUGCUAUGGGAGAGAAGCCAGACCCAAGAGGACACACCCUGUCUGAUGCCACUCACAGGAGUUCCCUGGAGGAGUCAGAUCCACAGAGACAGUAAGUAUCAGUAGAGGGUGGGGUCAGGGGCUGGGAGUCAGUGUUUAACGGGGACAGGGUUUCAGUUUGAGAAGAUAGGAAAGAUCUGGUUAUGGGGCUUUUUAGAGUCACACAGCCAGAAAGGAGAGAGUUGGAGCUCAAACACAGGCAGCUGAUCCCAAAGAUGUGCUCUCUAUGCCACUCCACCAAGCCUCUGAACUUGGGCCCCACGUGGCCUGGGGCACUGGAGGGUAUCCUUCCCAGCCUCCAUCAGGCCACAUGAGCACUGCCUGAGCGCUCCACAUUCUCAGGGUCCCUCUCCUGGUCUGACAACUGACCCAAUGCCCUGGACACAGCUCAGUGACCUAGAGUGAGCAGGUGGCAGGGACGGUCCCUUCUGAGCUGCCUGCCUACACUGCCUGUAAAUUCUUACAGAUUGACUCUGGCCAGAAGGCAUGGCAAGGAUGCUGUGCAUGCAGCCCAGUGCUUCCCAGCUCGGGGGACUCCCGGGACCAACGAGGUGGGGCCAGGGAUGCUGCUCAGCUCCCAGGACACCCCCACAAUAGAGAACGAUCCAGCCCCAAAGCGGGGAGAGACCCUGGUCCGGGACCCAUCUCAGCCUCUCCCAAUCUCUCUUUCAAAAGCAUCAGACUGGAGACCACUUCCCUCCUAGGACUGACCGCUGGCUGGAGGCUCCAGCCCCACUCACCAGCUCUCAUUCCCUGACAGGCCCUGGCUACUCCCGUGUGCCGGGAUGCUGCCCCGAGGCCCCUCUCAGGGGGCAGGUUAGUGCCACCUCAUCCUCCAGGAAGCCUUCCUCCCGGCUCCUCUAGGUGAUAAGGGCCUCACGCCUCUCCAGCC
ensembl:lncRNA